rnacentral:rRNA from 1 species
GACGAACGCUGGCGGCGUGCUUAACACAUGCAAGUCGAACGGAAAGGCCCUGCUUUUGUGGGGUGCUCGAGUGGCGAACGGGUGAGUAACACGUGAGUAACCUGCCCUUGACUUUGGGAUAACUUCAGGAAACUGGGGCUAAUACCGGAUAGGAGCUCCUGCUGCAUGGUGGGGGUUGGAAAGUUUCGGCGGUUGGGGAUGGACUCGCGGCUUAUCAGCUUGUUGGUGGGGUAGUGGCUUACCAAGGCUUUGACGGGUAGCCGGCCUGAGGGGGUGACCGGCCACAUGGGGAGUGAGAUACGGCCCAGACUCCUACGGGAGGCAGGAGUGGGAAAUAUUGCACAAUGGGCGGAAGCCUGAUGCAGCAACGCCGCGUGGGGGAUGAGGGCCUUCGGGUUGUAACCCGCUUUCGCCUGUGACGAAGCGUGAGUGACGGUAAUGGGUAAAGAAGCACCGGCUAACUACG